rnacentral:rRNA from 1 species
GAGGUCCCGUGGCCUUGGGGGCUGCGUGAUCUCUCU